rnacentral:rRNA from 1 species
CCUACGGGAGGCAGCAGUGAGGAAUAUUGGUCAAUGGGCUUACGCCUGAACCAGCCAAGUCGCGUGAGGGAAGACUGCCCUAUGGGUUGUAAACCUCUUUUGUCAGGGAGCAAUUGGCGCUACGUGUAGCGUUAUCGAGAGUACCUGAAGAAAAAGCAUCGGCUAACUCCGUGCCAGCAGCCGCGGUAAGACGGAGGAUGCGAGCGUUAUCCGGAUUUAUGGGGUUUAAAGGGUGCGUAGGCGGGAUGCCAAGUCAGCGGUAAAAAUGCGGUGCUCAACGCCGUCGAGCCGUUGAAACUGGCGUGCUUGAGUGGGGGAGAAGUAUGCGGAAUGCGUGGUGUAGCGGUGAAAUGCAUAGAUAUCACGCAGAACUCCGAUUGCGAAGGCAGCAUACCGGCGCCCUACUGACGCUGAGGCACGAAAGCGUGGGUAUCAAACAGGAUUAGAUACCCGAGUAGUC